rnacentral:lncRNA from 1 species
AGAGGUAGUGGUAGAGGUUCUUUUGUUAACACAGAGCAGCAGGUUGCUCGACCACAAUCUAGUCAGAGUUUAGUAGCAUAGCCAGUGGGUAGUUCCUUUGGGGCACCGACACAUGGGCAAGGAUAUAAUUCUGGGUUUGAGCAAAGGAAGAGACAUUUUCCUCAAUGUGCCACCUGUGGUAAAUAUCAUGAUGGGGAGUGUAGAAAAUUCGAUAGGGGUUGUUUUGAAUGUGGCUCUUCGGGGCAUUUUAAGAAAGAUUGUCCAUUGCUGAUAGCCAGAGACAGUGGUUCUUAGCAAGGGUCAGUGGCACCUCAGAAUCUAAAGUAUGGUAUGACACCAUCACAGGGAGUACCUACGGCACAAGUUGGACCAAGCACAAGCAGAGCCAGUGGAGCUACUUCAUCUUCUCAGCCUAGACCAAUGAUGCAACCUGGCAGACCUCGCACUCAAGCCAGAGUUUUUGCUAUGACACAGCAGGAGGCACGAGCAUCUUCAGAGGUGGUGACUGGUAUGUUAACUAUUUUUAAUAAAGAUGCGUACAUUCUUAUAGAUCCUAGUUCUACUCACUCUUUCAUAUCUCAAUCAUUCUCUAAGCAUGCUGAUAGAGAAUUAAAACCCUUAGACUGCGGAUUAGCUGUGAGUACUCCAGUUGGGGAUUCUGUUGUAUGUGAAUAUGUGUAUAGGGAUUAUGUUGUUAAGUUGGGCAAUCAUGAGCUGUUAGUGGAUCUAAUUCCUUUGUGUCUACAAGAUCUGGAUGUCAUCCUAGGUAUGGAUUGGUUAUCCCAUCAUCAUGCCACAAUAGAUUGCUUUGAGAAAUCAGUGGUAUUUAAUACUCCAAAAGGGUCCAAGUUCACUUUCUUUGGGGAGAGGCGUUUAUUUCCUUCUUAUGUGAUUUCCACCAUGACCACUAGGAAGAUGCUUCGGAAGGGUUGUCAAGCAUAUUUAGCCUAUGUGGUGGACAAUAACCUAGAAGGACCUAAAUUGGAGGAUAUACCAGUAGUAAACGAGUUUCCUGAUGUAUUUCCUGAAGAACUUCCAGGGUUGCCUCUAGAUAGAGAGAUUGAAUUCUCUAUUGAUUUAAAUCCAGGUACAACUCCUAUUUCUAUGGCACCAUACAAAAUGGCCCCAGCAGAAUUGAAGGAGUUAAAAGCACAAUUGCAGGAGCUACUUGAUAAAGGUUUCAUAAGACCCAGUGUUUCACCUUGGGGAGCCCCUGUGCUAUUUGUGAAGAAGAAGGAUGGUUCCUUAAGAUUGUGUAUUGACUACAGACAAUUGAAUCGAGUUACUGUGCGAAAUAAGUAUCCUUUACCCCGCAUUGAUGAUCUUUUUGAUCAACUCCAAGGUGCUAAAGUAUUCUCUAAGAUUGAUUUGCGAUCUGGGUAUCAUCAAUUGAAGAUCAAGGAGUCUGAAAUACCUAAGACAGCCUUCAGAACUCGUUACGGGCAUUAUGAGUUCCUCGUUAUGCCUUUUGGGUUAACUAAUGCACCCACUGCUUUUAUGGAUCUCAGGAAUAGGGUGUUUAAGCCCUACUUGGACAGUUUUGUUAUUGUGUUUAUUGAUGACAUCUUAGUAUAUUCUCGUAGCAAGGAAGAGCAUGAGAUGCAUUUACGGAUAGUACUGCAAAUUUUGAGGAAUAAGCAACUAUAUGCUAAAUUGAGCAAAUAUGCGUUCUGGCUUGAUCGGGUGGUUUUCUUGGGACAUGUUAUCUCAGCAGAUAGAGUUUUGGUUGAUCCUAAGAAGAUUGAAGCAGUAGUCAAUUGGGACCCUCCAACUAAUGUUACAGAGGUUAGAAGUUUUCUGGGCUUAGCAGGGUAUUAUCGUCGCUUUGUUCAGGAUUUCUCCAUCAUUGCAGCACCAUUGACUAAACUCCUUCGAAAGAAUGCAAAGUUUGAAUGGACAGAUGAAUGUCAAGAGAGUUUCGAGAAGCUUAAAACAUGUCUCACAUCAGCCCUAGUUCUUACCCUACCCUCAGGUACAGAUGGAUUUGUGGUGUAUAGUGAUGCUUCUCACAAGGGUUUAGGCUGUGUACUCAUGCAACAUGGGAAGGUGAUAGCUUAUGCUUCUAGACAGCUUAGACCACAUGAAUUAAAUUAUCCCACCCAUGAUCUGGAAUUGGCUGCAGUUGUAUUUGCAUUAAAGACAUGGAGGCAUUAUCUUUAUGGCAUGACUUGCCAGAUUUUUACAGACCACAAGAGUUUGAAGUAUCUUCUCACACAGAAGGAGUUGAAUUUAAGGCAGAGACGGUGGAUUGAGUUACUUAAGGACUACGACUGUACUAUUGAAUAUCAUCCAGGUAAAGCUAAUGUGGUAGCUGAUGCCCUUAGUCGCAAGUCCUUUAGUAAUUUGGCUUAUCUCAAAACAGUUCGACUUCCUUUGUUACUAGAGAUCAAAUCCUUAAGGGUAGAACUAGCAGUGGAUGAUGCAGGAGCAUUGUUAGCAAAUCUCAAAGUUCGACCAGUGUUGAUAGAAAAAGUCAAGGAAGCCCAAAAUCAAGAUGAGCAGUUUAGUAAGAUCAGUAAUGAAGUAAGAGAUGGCACCCGUACCGACUUUUCUCUAAGGGAGGAUGGAACGUUAAUGUUUGGUGAUAGACUAUGUGUACCUAGAGUGGAAAGCUUGAAGAGAGAGAUUAUGGAGGAAGCCCAUUGUUUUGCUUACUCUAUGCAUCCAGGCAGUACAAAAAUGUAUAGAGAUUUUAAAGAAAACUAUUGGUGGCCAGGCAUGAAGAAAGAAAUAGCUGACUUUGUGUCCACAUGCUUAGUUUGCCAACAGAUUAAAGCAGAACAUCAACAUCCAACAGGAAAGCUACAACCGCUCCCUAUUCUGGAAUGGAAGUGGGAACACAUUACUAUGGAUUUUGUUUCAGGGUUACCUCGUACUUCGCGUGGACAUAAUGCAGUAUGAGUGAUAGUUGAUAGAUUAACCAAGUCAGCACACUUUUUGCCUGUCAGGAUGGAUUAUUCUUUAGACAAGUUAGCAGAGAUCUAUGUCAGUGAGAUUGUAAGACUUCAUGGUGCUCCAGUUUCUAUUGUUUUAGAUAGAGAUCCAAGAUUCACUUCUCGUUUUUGGCCUAGCUUGCAAAAUGCUUUAGGCACUAAGUUGAAGUUUAGCACUUCUUUUCACCCUCAAACUGAUGGUCAAUCAGAAAGAACUAUUCAGACCUUAGAGGAUAUGCUGAGAGCUUGUGUGAUGGAGUUUAAAGGAAGUUGGGAUAGGCAUGUGCCUUUAAUGGAGUUCUCUUAUAACAAUAGUUAUCAUUCGAGUAUCGGCAUGGCUCCUUAUGAAGCUUUGUAUGGGAGGAGAUGUAGAACACCAUUGUGUUGGAAUGAGGUAGGGGAAGACAAUUAGAAGGUCCAGAACUAGUACAACACACCACAGAUAAAAUUCAGAUGAUCAGAAGUAGGUUAAAAGCAGCACAAGAUAGACAAAAGAGUUAUGCAGAUCUGAAGAGAAGGGAUAUUGAAUAUAAUGUUGGCGACAAAGUAUUUCUGAAGAUCUCUCCUUGGAAAAGGGUGGUACGUUUUGGCAAACGUGGGAAAUUGAGUCCGCGAUUCAUAGGGCCAUGUGAGAUUUUAGAGAGAAUUGGCCCAGUUGCUUAUCGUUUAGCACUACCACCAGAGCUAUCUCAGAUUCAUGAUGUCUUCCAUGUAUCCAUGUUAAGGAGAUACAGAAGUGAUCCUUCCCACAUUCUCCAGAAAGAGCCUAUCGAGUUGAGGAAAGAUUUAACAUAUGAAGAAGAGCGAGUAGAGAUCAUUACCAGAGAAGAGAAGGUUCUAAGGAGCAAGAUAAUACCCCUGGUUAAAGUUCGAUGGAGUAACCAUUCUGCCAAAGAAGCUACUUGGGAAAAAGGAGAGAAUAUGCGAAUUCAAUUUCCACAUUUAUUUCCUUCACCAGGUAUGUAAAUUUCGAGGAUGAAAUUUCUAUUAGGAGGAGAGAAUUAUCAGGCCUUGGCCCAGCCCACAAAAAAAAAAAAAAAUAGCCCGUAAAAUAAAUAAAGAAAUAAAUAAAUAAAAAAUUAAAACAUUAAAGGCUCUGGUUUCUUCCAGAGCCUUCAUUUGCGUGAAGUAGAGAAAAAAACAAAAAAGAAAGAAAAGCAGCAGAAGCAGGGGCAAGCAGAGCAUUGCUCUGUUAUUUCAAAAAAAAAACAAAAUCAUUCUCUUUAAUCCAAAUCUCUUUCCUCUCAACCCGAUCAACCCACAAACUUCUAAAAUCCUUCAGCUAGAUCCUAAUAUCCUGCUCAGAAAUUCAAUAUUUUCUUCCAGAGGUUCCAAAAUUGGGUAGGUGAGUUUUAUUCCCUUUAUUCGAUUUAUUGCGAUAUAAUUUAUUUUUUCUACUUUUUAAGAAUUAUUUGGUGAAUUGAGAAUCAAAAGGGAUGUAUUUAGGUUAGACCCAAGUAAUGAGAUUUAAUAUUUCUUUUGGGGAUUAAUGAUUUUUUUAUAGGUUAUUAAGUAUUUUUGUUGAGGUUGUUCAUUUUUGGGAGGUCUCGCUAUGGCGAAAUACUGCCGAAAUUUUCUUAAAAAUAUAUACAUAUAAAUAUAUUUAAAAUUUCGUAUUUUACGUUUUAUAUUAUUAUCCUAGUAUAUUUAUUUAUUAUUUGAUAUAUUAUUUUCUUUUUAAUUCUAGGAGAGGAUCCAGCUUUUGGGAUAAGUAAUAGGAGUGCUCCUGCGACCUAGGUUAUUCUAUCCUCAGUACUGGUGAGUGUAUAAAUAUAUAACAUUGAUAUUUUUCUUAAAUAUAUAUAUACUCAUAUAUGUUAUUUUGUUUAUUUAAGUUGGGAAAGGAUAACGAUAAUUUAUAUUUCUUGAAUGAAUGAAAAUUGAAUUUAAAGCACAGCUGAAUAAAUAGCCGAUUACACUCUGUAUAUGCACCGAAUAGAUAACACAUUGAUGACUGGUGAUUUAUUUUCAGUAUAAUAUAUAUUUAUACUGUCUUUGGGACAGUGCUUGAUAUACAGAUAGCCUUUGGGGCGUAUGUCAGGUGGUCACCCUUUGGGGGUAGCUCUGCACAUGUGUAUGACCAGUAUUUUGUUUGCUCUUGGGCCAAAAUUGUCAUCAUAGAGCCUAAGAUGCCAGCAUUGCUCUCAGGCUGUCGUUAUUUUAUCACACCUGAGAUGCCAGCAUUAUCUAUAGGGCACAUAUUAUGAGUGUAUGCAGAUUCUAUUUUUCACAGUUCAUUUUAUAUUAAUUGAAUUAAAUUGUAUUUAUUCAGCUGACUUAUUUUAGCUAAAUAUUUAAUACUAUUAAGUACUUAAACUUUAUCUUUUCCCCUUUGUUAUUUAUUUAUCCGCUCACUGAGUAUUUUGUACUCACCCUUAUACUUUUAAUAUUACAGCUCCUUUUUGGUGAUCCGCUCAGCAAUCCUCAUCUUCUUGUUUGUCCUUCUUCCUCAUCGUCCACUCAGAGUCUAGAGGAGGUCGGACCAAUCCUAGGUCUUUUGUCAUAUCUUUUGUAUAAUUUUAAAAGAUCAUGUAUAGAUUGUACAUUCCAUGAGGAACGUAUUUUGUUUAAUGUAAAUAUAUUAUGAAUUGACUAGAACAACCAUUAGUUUUCUCUUAUAUGUUUAAUAUUUUAAAAACUUAUAGCAGGUUAUAUGUAUUUAAAUGUAUAAAAUCAGGGGAAGUUCUGUCAGUUUUUCGAGUCAUAUCCGCCUCUACAGAUUAGAGAAUAGGUGUGACAAUUUUUAGUAUCAGAGCUUAGGUUAUAGAUUCUGUAGACUUUUCUUGAGUUAGUAUUCUUAAUUGUAUUCUGAUAAUUCUUCUCGUAUUGUCGUUUGUAGGACAAUGCCGCCUAGAGUAGGCAAUAGAAAUCGGGGCCGUGGUGUUCGUACAGCUAGAUUAGCCGAUAUUGGUCGACCUCAUAGGGAUCCUACAGUUACACCUCCACCUCUAGAUAGGAUGGCAGAUCAUGUUUUGCUUGAGAGCAGAGAAGGGCAUGGAGAUUCUGCUUCUCAUGGUGUUGAAUCAAGAACAUAUCCGGCUGCACCUUCAUUUCCUUCAGCACCUGCAGUUGCACCUCCUGUCGCAUCUGCAGCUCCACCUCUUGUUCCACCUGUAGCACCAGUUAAUCCUUUUCAGAUAAAUGCCGACCUGGGUGCUUUUGUGGCACAAGUAGUUACAGCAGCUGUUACAGCCAAACCUAGAGAUUCGUGGGAGAUAGUGGAUCGUGCUAGACAUUUGGGAGCUUAUGAUUUUGAGGGUUCUUCUGAUGCUGACAUUGCAGAUAAAUGGUUAAAGAAAGUGCUAAAAGUGUUUGAAUUAAUGAAGUUGACUGAUGCAGAUAAAGUAGAUAAUGUACAUGGAUUGCUUCAGGGUAAAGCUGAUGGUUGGUUUGAUGGCAUUCAUCGCAGACAUAGAGUCAGACUGACUUGGGAUCAAUUUAUAUAUGAAUUUUGCCAGGAGUAUUUGUCAGAAAGUUACAGGAAGGGGAAACAGGAUGCCUUUCUCAGGUUGUUUCAAGGAAGCCUCUCAAUAAGAGAGUAUGUUGACAAGUUUGAAGAUCUUUAUUGCUUUGUGUCAGAUAUACUACCUUUUGAGGAAGCUAAAUGUGAUAGAUUUAGACAGGGUCUACAUGUCAAUAUCAGAUCAUCUAUGACCUGGUUCAGAGGUAAUAAUUUCAGAGAGUUGGUGGAAGCAGCUUUGAAUGUUGAGAAAGUUAAGCAAGAAGAGAAAGAGUAUGAGCAGAGGAUGAGUAGAAAACAUAUGCAGGAUUCACAGGGGUUCAGAGAAAGACCAGCUAAGAGAUGGAGCAGUUCAUUUCAGUCCCAAGCUGGAUACAGAGGUAGUGGUAGAGGUUCUUUUGUUAACACAGAGCAGCAGGUUGCUCGACCACAAUCUAGUCAGAGUUCAGUAGCAUAGCCAGUGGGUAGUUCCUUUGGGGCACCGACACAUGGGCAAGGAUAUAAUUCUGGGUUUGAGCAAAGGAAGAGACAUUUUCCUCAAUGUGCCACCUGUGGUAAAUAUCAUGCUGGGGAGUGUAGAAAAUUCGAUAGGGGUUGUUUUGAAUGUGGCUCUUCGGGGCAUUUUAAGAAAGAUUGUCCAUUGCUGAUAGCCAGAGACAGUGGUUCUCAGCAAGGGUCAGUGGCACCUCAGAAUCUAAAGUAUGGUAUGACACUAUCACAGGGAGUACCUACGGCACAAGUUGGACCAAGCACAAGCAGAGCCAGUGGAGCUACUUCAUCUUCUCAGCCUAGACCAAUGAUGCAACCUGGCAGACCUCGCACUCAAGCCAGAGUUUUUGCUAUGACACAGCAGGAGGCACGAGCAUCUUCAGAGGUGGUGACUGGUAUGUUAACUAUUUUUAAUAAAGAUGCGUACAUUCUUACAGAUCCUGGUUCUACUCACUCUUUCAUAUCUCAAUCAUUCUCUAAGCAUGCUGAUAGAGAAUUAAAACCCUUAGACUGCGGAUUAGCUGUGAGUACUCCAGUUGGGGAUUCUGUUGUAUGUGAAUAUGUGUAUAGGGAUUGUGUUGUUAAGUUGGGAAAUCAUGAGCUGUUAGUGGAUCUAAUUCCUUUGUGUCUACAAGAUCUGGAUGUCAUCCUAGGUAUGGACUGGUUAUCCCGUCAUCAUGCCACAAUAGAUUGCUUUGAGAAAUCAGUGGUAUUUAAUACUCCAAAAGGGUCCAAGUUCACUUUCUUUGGGGAGAGGCGUUUAUUUCCUUCUUAUGUGAUUUCCGCCAUGACCACUAGGAAGAUGCUUCGGAAGGGUUGUCAAGCAUAUUUAGCCUAUGUGGUGGACAGUAACCUAGAAGGACCUAAAUUGGAGGAUAUACAAAUAGUAAACGAGUUUCCUGAUGUAUUUCCUGAAGAACUUCCUGGGUUGCCUCCAGAUAGAGAGAUUGAAUUCUCUAUAGAUUUAAAUCCAGG